rnacentral:rRNA from 1 species
UACGUAGGGUCCGAGCGUUGUCCGGAGUUACUGGGCGUAAAGCGCGCGCAGGCGGCCCGCGAGGUGUCACGUGAAAGCCCCCGGGCUCAACUCGGGAGGGUCGUGGCAAACCGGGCGGCUUGAGGCCGGUAGAGGUGGGUGGAACUCCUGGUGGAGUGGUGAAAUGCGUAGAGAUCAGGAAGAACACCCGUGGCGAAGGCGGCCCACUGGGCCGGUGCUGACGCUGAGGCGCGAAGGCGUGGGGAGCGAACGGGG